AUGGGAGCUUUCCCUUCACCGCCCCCAUGGGGGUGGUCCACAGGAUUCAUAACUACCCCUCUUACUACGUGGCGUUUACCUAGCCAACACUUAGAUCCGGCUCUACCCAAACUUUUUUGGUUCACCCCAACAUUACCCACUUGUCCGACUGUUGCUAAGCAGUUUUGGGAUACUAAACGGACCUCACCAGAUGGUAAUCUUAAAGGGGCCGAUUUACCCUCUUUUGCAAUGAGUUUCGCUACAGCACCUGCUGCUCUAGCUAAUUGCCCACCCCUUCCACGUGUGAUUUCCAUGUUAUGCAUGGCCGUGCCUAAGGGCAUAACAGUUGAAGUAGAUUCUUCUUUUCUCUCAAAAAACCCCUUCCCAAACUGUACAAGCUUCUUCCAAAGCAUACAGCUUUCUAGAAGUAUAUGA
rnacentral:rRNA from 1 species